CAGCCGCCACGGGAAUACGUAGGUGGCAAGCGUUGUCCGGAAUUAUUGGGCGUAAAGGGCUCGCAGGCGGUUUCUUAAGUCUGAUGUGAAGGCCCCCGGCUCAACCGGGGAGGGUCAUUGGAAACUGGGAAACUUGAGUGCAGAAGAGGAGAGUGGAAUUCCACGUGUAGCGGUGAAAUGCGUAGAGAUGUGGAGGAACACCAGUAGCGAAGGCGACUCUCUGGUCUGUAACUGACGCUGAGGAGCGAAAGCGUGGGGAGCGAACAGGAUUAGAUACCCCCGUAGUCCCUGUCUCUUAUAC
rnacentral:rRNA from 1 species